rnacentral:lncRNA from 1 species
GUAUUUUUAGAUAGUAAGUGCAGAAAUAUAACUUCCUCUUCUUUCUGUCUCUAGUUUUUACUGUUGACCUAUCCCUAUGCUCCUCAACUGGACGCUAGUCUCUUGUAGGAAAUAAAUCUCUUUAAGAAAGAUGAAAGAGGUUGGUAUGUAUGCCAGGCACUUGCUAGCCUUAUAGUCCCUAAUUUUGACCUUCAUAUAACCACAG